GAUGAAGAACGUAGCGAAAUGCGAUAAGUAGUGUGAAUUGCAGAAUUCAGUGAAUCAUCGAAUCUUUGAACGCACAUUGCGCCCCCUGGUAUUCCGGGGGGCAUGCCUGUCCGAGCGUCAUUACAACCCUCAAGCUCAGCUUGGUGUUGGGCCCCGCCGCCCCGGCGGGCCCUAAAGUCAGUGGCGGUGCCGUCCGGCUCCGAGCGUAGUAAUUCUUCUCGCUCUGGAGGUCCGGUCGUGUGCUCGCCAGCAACCCCCAAUUUUUUUCAGGUUGACCUCGGAUCAGGUAGGGAUACCCGCCGAACUUAAGCAUAUCAAUAAGCGGAGGA
rnacentral:misc_RNA from 1 species